rnacentral:rRNA from 1 species
AUUGAACGCUGGCGGCAUGCCUUACACAUGCAAGUCGAACGGCAGCGCGGGGGCAACCCUGGCGGCGAGUGGCGAACGGGUGAGUAAUACAUCGGAACGUGUCCUGGAGUGGGGGAUAGCCCGGCGAAAGCCGGAUUAAUACCGCAUACGAUCUUGGGAUGAAAGCGGGGGACCGAAAGGCCUCGCGCUCAAGGGGCGGCCGAUGGCAGAUUAGCUAGUUGGUGGGGUAAAGGCCUACCAAGGCGACGAUCUGUAGCUGGUCUGAGAGGA